UUAAAUCUUUGUUGUAGCAUCUAUCAAAUAGUAAAUGAUCAGCAUGGCCUCUGCAUAAGGAUAAUAAGCACAUCCAUGAUAUAUUCCAUUUUUUG
rnacentral:snRNA from 1 species